UCGUCGACGAUCUGCGGGCAGAUGAAGUGGACGUGCGUGUCGAGGCCGCCGGCGGUGAGCACGUGGCCCUCGCCGGCGAUGACCUCGGUGGUGACGCCCAUGACGAGGCGAUCGUCGACGCCGGCCAUCACGUCGGGGUUGCCGGCCUUGCCGAUCCCGGCGAUGCGGCCUCCUUUGAGCCCGACGUCGGCCUUGUAGAUGCCCGUCCAGUCGAUGACCAGCGCGUUGGUGAUGACGUAAUCCAGCGCGUCCGCCGGAUCGCCGCCGGCGCGUUGCCCCAUGCCCUCGCGCAG
rnacentral:sRNA from 1 species